UACGAAGGGGGCUAGCGUUGUUCGGAAUCAUUGGGCGUAAAGCGCACGUAGGCGGACUCUUAAGUCGGUGGUGAAAUCCUGGAGCUCAACUCCAGAACUGCCUUCGAUACUGAGAGUCUCGAGUCCGAGAGAGGUGAGUGGAACUGCGAGUGUAGAGGUGAAAUUCGUAGAUAUUCGCAAGAACACCAGUGGCGAAGGCGGCUCACUGGCUCGGUACUGACGCUGAGGUGCGAAAGCGUGGGGAGCAAACAGG
rnacentral:rRNA from 1 species